GGUUAAGCGACUAAGCGUACACGGUGGAUGCCUAGGCAAUCAGAGGCGAUGAAGGACGUGCUAAUCUGCGAAAAGCGUCGGUAAGGUGAUAUGAACCGCUAUAACCGACGAUGUCCGAAUGGGGAAACCCAGUGCAAUUCGUUGCACUAUCGUUUGAUGAAUCCAUAGUCAAACGAGGCGAACCGAGGGAACUGAAACAUCUCAGUACCUCGAGGAAAAGAAAUCAACCGAGAUUCCCCUAGUAGCGGCGAGCGAACGGGGAGCAGCCCAGAGUCUUAAUCAGCAUCAGCAUCAGGAGAACGGUCUGGAAAGUCCGGCAGUAAAGGGUGAUAGCCCCGUAUCCGAAGGUGUUGGUGUUGUGAACUCGACGAGUAGGGCGGGACACGUGUUAUCCUGUCUGAAUAUGGGGGGACCAUCCUCCAAGGCUAAAUACUCCUGAUUGACCGAUAGUGAACCAGUACCGUGAGGGAAAGGCGAAAAGAACCCCGGCGAGGGGAGUGAAAUAGAACCUGAAACCGUGUACGUACAAGCAGUGGGAGCACCUUUUAGGUGUGACUGCGUACCUUUUGUAUAAUGGGUCAGCGACUUAUAUUCUGUAGCAAGGUUAACCGUAUAGGGGAGCCGUAGGGAAACCGAGUCUUAACUGGGCGAAUAAGUUGCAGGGUAUAGACCCGAAACCCGGUGAUCUAGCCAUGGGCAGGUUGAAGGUUGGGUAACACUAACUGGAGGACCGAACCGACUAAUGUUGAAAAAUUAGCGGAUGACUUGUGGCUGGGGGUGAAAGGCCAAUCAAACCGGGAGAUAGCUGGUUCUCCCCGAAAGCUAUUUAGGUAGCGCCUCGUGAACUCAUCUUCGGGGGUAGAGCACUGUUUCGGCUAGGGGGUCAUCCCGACUUACCAACCCGAUGCAAACUACGAAUACCGAAGAAUGUUAUCACGGGAGACACACGGCGGGUGCUAACGUUCGUCGUGAAGAGGGAAACAACCCAGACCGCCAGCUAAGGUCCCAAAGUUAUGGUUAAGUGGGAAACGAAGUGGGAAGGCUCAGACAGCCAGGAUGUUGGCUUAGAAGCAGCCAUCAUUUAAAGAAAGCGUAAUAGCUCACUGGUCGAGUCGGCCUGCGCGGAAGAUGUAACGGGGCUAAACCAUGCACCGAAGCUGCGGCAGCGACAUUUAGAUGUUGUUGGGUAGGGGAGCGUUCUGUAAGCCUGUGAAGGUGUGCUGUGAGGCAUGCUGGAGGUAUCAGAAGUGCGAAUGCUGACAUAAGUAACGAUAAUGCGGGUGAAAAACCCGCACGCCGGAAGACCAAGGGUUCCUGUCCAACGUUAAUCGGGGCAGGGUGAGUCGACCCCUAAGGCGAGGCAGAAAUGCGUAGUCGAUGGGAAACAGGUUAAUAUUCCUGUACUGGUGAUAAUUGCGAUGGGGGGACGGAGAAGGCUAGGCUGGCCGGGCGACGGUUGUCCCGGUUUAAGGAUGUAGGCAGGUGAAUUAGGCAAAUCCGGUUCACUACAUGCUGAGGUCUGAUGACGAGUCACUACGGUGGCGAAGUAGCUCAUGCCCCGCUUCCAGGAAAAGCCUCUAAGCUCUAGAUUAUCAUUAAUCGUACCCCAAACCGACACAGGUGGUCAGGUAGAGAAUACUCAGGCGCUUGAGAGAACUCGGGUGAAGGAACUAGGCAAAAUGGUGCCGUAACUUCGGGAGAAGGCACGCUGGCGCUAGGUGAAGUCCCUCGCGGAUGGAGCUGAAGCCAGUCGCAGAUACCAGCUGGCUGCAACUGUUUAUUAAAAACACAGCACUGUGCAAACACGAAAGUGGACGUAUACGGUGUGACGCCUGCCCGGUGCUGGAAGGUUAAUUGAUGGGGUUAUCCGUAAGGAGAAGCUCUUGAUCGAAGCCCCAGUAAACGGCGGCCGUAACUAUAACGGUCCUAAGGUAGCGAAAUUCCUUGUCGGGUAAGUUCCGACCUGCACGAAUGGCGUAAUGAUGGCCAGGCUGUCUCCACCCGAGACUCAGUGAAAUUGAACUCGCUGUGAAGAUGCAGUGUACCCGCGGCAAGACGGAAAGACCCCGUGAACCUUUACUAUAGCUUGACACUGAACAUUGAGCCUUGAUGUGUAGGAUAGGUGGGAGGCUUUGAAGUGUGGACGCCAGUCUGCAUGGAGCCAACCUUGAAAUACCACCCUUUAAUGUUUGAUGUUCUAACGUGGCCCCAUCAUCUGGGGUGCGGACAGUGUCUGGUGGGUAGUUUGACUGGGGCGGUCUCCUCCCAAAGAGUAACGGAGGAGCACGAAGGUUGGCUAAGCAUGGUCGGACAUCAUGCGGUUAGUGCAAAGGCAUAAGCCAGCUUGACUGCGAGAGUGACGGCUCGAGCAGGUACGAAAGUAGGUCUUAGUGAUCCGGUGGUUCUGAAUGGAAGGGCCAUCGCUCAACGGAUAAAAGGUACUCCGGGGAUAACAGGCUGAUACCGCCCAAGAGUUCAUAUCGACGGCGGUGUUUGGCACCUCGAUGUCGGCUCAUCACAUCCUGGGGCUGAAGUAGGUCCCAAGGGUAUGGCUGUUCGCCAUUUAAAGUGGUACGCGAGCUGGGUUUAGAACGUCGUGAGACAGUUCGGUCCCUAUCUGCCGUGGGCGUUGGAAGAUUGAAAGGGGCUGCUCCUAGUACGAGAGGACCGGAGUGGACGCACCACUGGUGUUCGGGUUGUCAUGCCAAUGGCACUGCCCGGUAGCUAAGUGCGGAAGAGAUAACCGCUGAAAGCAUCUAAGCGGGAAACUUGCCUUGAGAUGAGUCUUCCCUGACUCUUUAAGGGUCCUAAAGGAACGUUUAAGACUAAGACGUUGAUAGGCUGGGUGUGUAAGCGUAGCGAUACGUUGAGCUAACCAGUACUAAUGAACCGUGAGGCUUAACCUG
rnacentral:rRNA from 1 species